rnacentral:tRNA from 1 species
AUCGUGGUGGCUAAGUGGUAAAGCGCUUGGCUUCCGAACCGGGAAAGUCCCGGGUUGGAAUCCUGGUUAAGACU